CUUUCUCUCUCUCCGGUUGGUGGUGGGCUGGUUGAAGAUGGAAUCCACUGAAGAAAGAAGGCCUGGGUUUUCGGCACCUUGUUUGCCAGCCCAGAAGUGGCACUGUGAAAGCCUUCAUAACAUCUGCUGCCGACACCCUAAAAAGCAAGUGGGCUCAGAUUAGGACAUUCUCAGUAGGAAUGGUUAAAGUCCGAUGGGACCACAAAGGCAAAUACUAGAACUUUGACCAAGAUAUGUUGCCAUAAAGUGUUCUCUGUCACCUGUACAUAUAUGUAUGUUUCUUUUCCAUCUAAAAAAGAGAUAUGCUAAGUAGUUGAUAGAUUCUGUAGUUCAGCUUCAUUCCCAGAUAGAUGCUGGAUUCACCUGAUCCCAGAGUUUUAUAUGCCACAUAUCAGUGAAAUCAUAUAAUUUUUG